GAACUGAAGAGUUUGAUCAUGGCUCAGAUUGAACGCUGGCGGCAGGCCUAACACAUGCAAGUCGAGCGGAUGACGGGAGCUUGCUCCUUGAUUCAGCGGCGGACGGGUGAGUAAUGCCUAGGAAUCUGCCUGGUAGUGGGGGACAACGUUUCGAAAGGAACGCUAAUACCGCAUACGUCCUACGGGAGAAAGCAGGGGACCUUCGGGCCUUGCGCUAUCAGAUGAGCCUAGGUCGGAUUAGCUAGUUGGUGAGGUAAUGGCUCACCAAGGCGACGAUCCGUAACUGGUCUGAGAGGAUGAUCAGUCACACUGGAACUGAGACACGGUCCAGACUCCUACGGGAGGCAGCAGUGGGGAAUAUUGGACAAUGGGCGAAAGCCUGAUCCAGCCAUGCCGCGUGUGUGAAGAAGGUCUUCGGAUUGUAAAGCACUUUAAGUUGGGAGGAAGGGCAGUAAGUUAAUACCUUGCUGUUUUGACGUUACCGACAGAAUAAGCACCGGCUAACUCUGUGCCAGCAGCCGCGGUAAUACAGAGGGUGCAAGCGUUAAUCGGAAUUACUGGGCGUAAAGCGCGCGUAGGUGGUUCGUUAAGUUGGAUGUGAAAGCCCCGGGCUCAACCU
rnacentral:rRNA from 1 species